AGCCAGGGGUGCUGGGGAGGGCGGGGGCUCGUGCAGGCUGAUGCGCCGCGGGGCGGGGCCUUGGGGCGAGUGUGGCCCCUCGGUUUGGCCCCUUACGGGCUCACGUCUGCGGCCGCGGUAACAGCGGCCAGACUCGAGGGGAAGGGCCGGCCGCGCCACCACGGAAAUCUGACGGGAGCUGGGGGACCCCGAGCCCUCCCCCAUUGCAAGGGGCCACCCCCCCGGGACGCGACGCGACUCCUUUGACCCAACAGGGUGCUCAGGGAGCCGCUGGGGCGGGGGCAGGUGUUAACCCGGAGCGGCCUCCUGCGAGGCUAAAGCCACCCCCAGCUGAGGCUGCGGGGCAGAGGGGAGGCGCCGUGCAGCGGGUCUGUGACGGGGGCUGUUUGAACGCAGCUGCAUUGAACAGGUCAACAAAUACAGUAGCAGAACAGAUUAUUUGGGUACGGUCUGUGCUACAGAGGGUGAAAGCUUUAUAAAAGAUGCAAGUGCAUGAAAAACUGCGAGUGCAUACAGGAAGCUGCUGUGUCAGCAGUGCAUUGCUUUGACUCCUGCUUGGAUG
rnacentral:lncRNA from 1 species